ACAAGCCCUGGAAACGGGGUCUAAUACCGGAUAACACUCUGUCCUGCAUGGGACGGGGUUGAAAGCUCCGGCGGUGAAGGAUGAGCCCGCGGCCUAUCAGCUUGUUGGUGGGGUAAUGGCCUACCAAGGCGACGACGGGUAGCCGGCCUGAGAGGGCGACCGGCCACACUGGGACUGAGACACGGCCCAGACUCCUACGGGAGGCAGCAGUGGGGAAUAUUGCACAAUGGGCGAAAGCCUGAUGCAGCGACGCCGCGUGAGGGAUGACGGCCUUCGGGUUGUAAACCUCUUUCAGCAGGGAAGAAGCGAAAGUGACGGUACCUGCAGAAGAAGCGCCGGCUAACUACGUGCCAGCAGCCGCGGUAAUACGUAGGGCGCAAGCGUUGUCCGGAAUUAUUGGGCGUAAAGAGCUCGUAGGCGGCUUGUCACGUCGGAUGUGAAAGCCCGGGGCUUAACCCCGGGUCUGCAUUCGAUACGGGCUAGCUAGAGUGUGGUAGGGGAGAUCGGAAUUCCUGGUGUAGCGGUGAAAUGCGCAGAUAUCAGGAGGAACACCGGUGGCGAAGGCGGAUCUCUGGGCCAUUACUGACGCUGAGGAGCGAAAGCGUGGGGAGCGAACAGGAUUAGAUACCCUGGUAGUCCACGCCGUAAACGUUGGGAACUAGGUGUUGGCGACAUUCCACGUCGUCGGUGCCGCAGCUAACGCAUUAAGUU
rnacentral:rRNA from 1 species